rnacentral:rRNA from 1 species
AACGAACGCUGGCGGCGUGGAUAAGACAUGCAAGUCGAACGGGACAGACCGAGUAGCAAUAUUUGGAAUGUUCAGUGGCGAACGGGUGCGUAACACGUGGAUAACAUUCCGGAAAGCGGGGAAUAGCCCAGGGAAACUUGGAUUAAUACCGCAUGUGGCCGCAAGGCUAAAGACGGGGACCGCAAGGCCUGUCACUUUCCGAUUGGUCCGCGGCCUAUCAGCUAGUUGUCGGGGUAAUGGCCCACCAAGGCUACGACGGGUAGCUGGUCUUAGAGGACGACCGGCCACACUGGAACUGAGACACGGUCCAGACACCUACGGGUGGCAGCAGUCGGGAAUCUUUCACAAGGGGGGCAACCCUGAUGGAGCGACGCCGCGUGGAGGAUAAGGUCUUCGGAUUGUAAACUCCUGUCAUGCGAGAACAAGGUACUCAGGCUAAUAACCUGAUUGUUUGAUGGUACCGCAAGAGGAAGAGACGGCUAACUCUGUGCCAGCCGCCGCCGUAAAAC